UUUAUUCUUGUGCGUGAUGAGGGGUUGCCAUAUUUAGGUAGUGAUCAUGAUGUUUCUAACCCUAGCCGUAACCAUGGAAAUUUUGCAUGUGUUUCAUAAUGAAAUGUUGUUAUAUCUGAUCAUGAUCUUGACCUUGGUUGGAAUACUGCAAAUAUUUAGGUGGAAUUGAUGUUCUACUAAUGAAGGAAGCGUCUAAGGUAAUUAAUUUGAGGUUUCUUGCUGCAAGUUCUGUCUUUUUACACAUCCGUAAUGUGUUUUUCAGAUUCCUGCCGAAAGAUCAAGAUGAAAUCAAUGGUUAAUGGGGGACAUUUCUGGUAUCCAGAUAGGUUAUGACGUAUACCUUCACCACAUCAGACCAUCUGAUAGUCACAUAUCUAGGUGAGUGAUAUUGAUGGGCUAAACUUGUUCUACUAUGUGAUUUAUUUCAGGUAUUCAGGUACAAAAUGAUAGUGUUUUAUCAAUUCUAGCAGUCAUCUCAAAAGAGAUGAUGGUGUUUCUGACCAUGGCGUAGACCUUGGAGUACUGCAAGAAUCCAGGCAGAGUUAAAUGUUGGGUCGUGCGUAAUGAAAAAGGCCAUUUGCAGUAUCCUAGUAGAAAAGGUGUCUCUAUGGACAGCUUUUUUACAACGUGUUUUUCAGGUUCUGGCAGUCAUGAAAUAACGGUGAACCUAAAAAUCGUCAUUAACAGAACCUUACCAGUAACCAAGUAUCCCUUCAAGAGAGGAAGGUGUCUCUUACUAGGGUUUAACCUCAGAUUUCUGCCGCUAUCCAGGUUCACGUGAAGACCUCCCUAUGAGCCAGUUAGUGGUAGUUAAUGAUGUGUGCAUAGCAGGUAUUGAGGUAAGUGAUAAUGUGGGCCUAACCCACAGUACAGAUCAUAUGACCUUCAUACAUGUAAAUAAGUGACGAUGGUGUCCCUAACACUUGUGUUACCAUAUAUUUUUCCAGGUACCCUGUUCAGCUCUUUGAUAGUACAAAGGUAUGAGAUGAUAUAAUAUUAACUCAUCGAUGUUCUUAUUUUCAACUAUCUAUGUAAUUGUUUUUAAGACUCCUCCUUCCCUUGUUUUUGGCAAGUAGAAGUUAAAUUAAUUUGACCCUGACCGUGGGGGACGGGAAGGGGGAAAACCUAGUUACACAGAGGGAGAGAGGCAAACUAUGAGACUCUUAAAUACAGAGAAUGAACUGAGGGUUGAUGGGGGGGGGGGGGAAUGGGUGAUGGGCAUUGAGGAGGACACUUGCUGGGAUGAGCACUGGGUGUUGUAUGUAAGCGAUGAAUCACGGGAAUCUACCCCCAAAACCAAGAGUACACUAUAUACUACUCUAUGUCAGCCAACUUGACAAUAAAUUACAUUUUUUUAAUUAAUUUUUGACCCUAAUAAUACUAGCAAGCAGUUUUUAUUGUUUGCUUAUCUGGAGAUAACGUGUAUUUCUCACUCAUAGUGGUAUGUCAGAUAUCUAAGUCACGUAUCAUAUUUUGCUAACUGCAUUAUUAACCAUGGAAUGUUUGCAGGUAUCCCUUCAAGAGAGGAAAGUGUGUCUGACUAGGGUUUAACUUCAGAGUUCUGGAAGUGUCCAGGUAAUGUUUAUGGGUCUCCAAAGGAUACAAGUGACCAGGGAAUUUGCAGGUGCAUGGGUAGAAUGAGACAUGUCCCAAACGUAAACCACAGUAUGUUUUUCAGAACAUGCCAAGAGAUCACAAUGAGUCUAUCUAUACCAGUUAAUGGGGGGGACAUGACUGGUAUUAAGGUAAGUGCUGCUCUGGCCCUAACCCAUGACACGGACCAUCUGAUCUUCGUGUAUUUAGGUAAGUGAUGACAUGUGCUGCCACUUUUUAUUACCAUGAUUUUGUUGCAGGAAUUCAGGUAAGAAGGAAGAAUCUUGCCAAUUCUAGAGACUGUAAAUUAAGAGAUAAUCGUGUCUCUAAUGGUGAGAUCAGCCUACCUAAGGUUACUGGUAGACUUAAUGAGUCCCGCAGUGAUACAAGGGACAAGGUUCUUACCAGGGUCCAGGUAAUAAAAGUGUUGUCAUAUCACAUCUGUUCAAGUGUGUUUUUCAGGUCACUGUUAAGAUACGAUGGUAAGCUUCAUAAAGAUGAUGAAAGGGAUUUUGUUUGUAUCCGGGUAAGUGAUGAUGAUAGCCUUUUCCAUGCAAUAGACUAUCUAUGUAAGUACGGGUGGUGCUUCUAACUUUGUGUUGCUGGGGUUUUUUUGUGUGUGUUUUUUGCAAGUAUUCGGCUAAGAAAUGAUAUUGUUAGUCAAUGCUAGUAAGCAUUAGCCCUUUCUUUAAAAUUUUUUAAAUUUAUUUGUUUUGAGAGAGAGAGAGAGCGAGCAUGAGUGCAGGAAAGGCAGAAAGCAGGAGAGAGAAAGAAUCCCAAGCAGGAUCUGCAGUGUCAGCACGGAGCCCAAUGCAGGGCUCCAACUCACGAAGCAUGAGAUCAUGACCUGAGCCGAAAUCAAGAGUAGGACGUUUAACUGACUGAGCCCCCCAGGUGCCCCAGCCCUUAUUAUUUUAAAGCUUAGAUACAACAUUUGUAAAACCUCAGUAGUGACAGAGAUAACACAAGUGUCCAGGUAAGUUAUUGACCAUUUCCUAUUUAUUGAUCACGGAUUCUUAACACUAGUCGAGACAGUAUUGUGUCUUUAACUGGAGGCUGACCUUGAACUCUGCAAGUUUCUAGGUAGAUUUGAUAAGCCUCAUAAAUUCGAUGGGAUUUGGCAGGUGUUCAGGUAAUACAUGUAUUCCUAACACAGUUUUUGCCAUGAAUUUUUGUAGAACCCAAUCAAGAGAUAAUGGAAGGCCUUACAUCCUGUCUUGAUUAGAUACCAGAAAAAUCCCAGAUUACCUACUGUGGUCACGAAGAGCACUGGGUGAUGUAUGGAAUUGUUGAAUCACUGUAUUGUAUGCCUGAAAUUAAGAUUAUACUGCAUGUUAACUUUGCUGGAAUUAAAAUUUAAAAAAUACAUAUGUAAGGGGAUUCAAACACAAUCCCAGUGAAAAAAUGAUCAUGGAGCAAGAUUUUCCAUUUUCAAUAGCUGCCUAUGAAAAAAAUCUUGCUCCAAUUCCUAAAAUGAGAAAAAGCAAAAAAUAAAAUCGAAUGAAUGAAUGAAUGAAUGAGUAAAUAAAUCAAUACGUAUUGUUGUCAGUUGAACCAUCAUCUCUUGAUUUGUAUUUUUACAGACACCCGCUCAAGAGGAGAUCAUGUCUCUAUUCAAGGGUCUUGUCCCUGGAGCUUUGCAGGUGUCCAGGUAAUGUGUCCCUAAUCCAGAUAACGAUCAUGGGAUUUUGCAGUUAUCCAAGCAAGAGACGACAUGCCCCUGCCAUGAUCUUGAUUCCCCUGCACAUGUCUGGGUAUCCAGACUUUUAAGGUAUUCUGGGAAGAGAUGGUGAUGGUCCUAACCACACUAAUGAUGACAGAAAUUUGCACAUAUCCACUCAAGAGACGAUGGCAUCUCCGUCAACAUUGGUGGCUGUGAAGAUGGAAGAAAUGAAAUGCUUUUUUUUUUUUUUUUGGAACUAUAUAAUUUAUUAAAAGAAUUUUGACAUUCAAUGACUAGUAAAUGUUAUUCAAAAUUGUA